GAUCACUGACAAUUAUGAGAGGAAUUUAAUAAAAAAAAUCUUAUCAAAGAAAAUUGGUAAAUGUGAAGAAAGAUAGAAGAUUUGUGUGUUUGAGAUUGAAAGGCUUAUGAAUGGUGGGGUUUCAUUCUAGAUUCUUUGAGUGCCACCGUCGUUUUUAUAGUUUCAAUACCAGUCAACGCGUUCCCUCCAUCAAUUCAAUUCAACUCAACUCUCCUAGGAUUCAUGAUACUUCAGGGACACUUCUUUCCACUUCAAGGACAGAUGGAGGAGAAGAGGAUUGGUCUGCUGCUGCUGCAGCAUCCCACAGAAGCAAUCAAGCUUCGUGGCUGAUGAAUCCAAGAGAUGAGGAGGUUUUUGGUUGAUAGAGCAAGUAUAUUGAAAAUGUGAAUGUUGUGCAGCCGGAAUCCGAAAUAAAGCCGCUGCCUAAUGUUGCCCAGACUCCACGAAAGUCCUGGCUCCGCCACUGUCUAGAGAAGAUGCAGUAAGUACGAACUGAUUAUUCAGGAUACUUCAGUAAAACUUAUGAUAUCUAUUUUGUUCCUUCAAGAUUCUUGUAGCUACGGUCUCUUGGAAACCUUUAUCUGACAAUAGAAUCCUAAGAUUUUUUUUGUCAUAUAUGCCCAAUCCAUUUGGUGUUAGCACUAAUAUUAUUAACAUUUCAUAAAUGGGGAGCGAAAAUCUAUAUUCUCCUGCUUAGUUUUCUGUAAUCAUGUGAUAUUCUGAAUUCAGAGCUGGUUUUGUUGUCCAUGGGUUACUUACUAAUGUAACUAGAAACAACAUAGGGAGGCCCAUUUAUUUUCCUACUUGUGUCAAUCUCUUUUUUCAGCAUUAGUUUUUCCUAUCAUAUCUCCAAUCAUUGAGAAUCCUAGCAUUAUUUAAUUCAUUGAUUCUUUUGGGAUCUUUCUGACAUUUAAAAUUUUAAAGAAUACAUUGCAUUAACAGUUUCUAUGUUGUUUUGUUUAUAUGCAUAUAGGGCUAUUACCUCUUAACUUUCCUAAUUUUGGACUUAUGUAGCCACUAAUGCUCUAACACAGUGCCUUUAUAAGGAAUCAUUUCAAAGGGACGUAAAAAACAAUCUUUUUAAUGCUAAUUUAAAUCAUUUUUUUAAAGAUAAAGGAUUAUAUAUUGAUAUCCACAAAAAACCCAAGGACAACAACCUUAGGGAGCGAGGAUAACCUCAAUAAUAACGAGGCACCUCUACGAACAAAAGAAAACACCCAUAAGCCGAAAAACCCCUAACCAGGAUCUAGGAACAAAGGCAAACAUCGGGCUAACAAACAAACCAGUCGCCAAGGGAACGAGCCAAAAAGAAAACCCUAAGAUUACACAAAACCAGCCUGAGAAGUACAUACAAAAAUCAAGUCUUGAAAUGUUCCUCGUAUACCUUUUCCAAACCUCGAAUAGCCUUUACGUCGCUUCCCUCAAACUCUAGCCCCAAGGCUUUGCCAAGAAGUCACGCCUUUUUCGAACGCGUGAAGUAAGGUCCACCGCUAGCAGGAUUAGAGGCCGGCAACGUCAAGGGCGAAGAGGCUCAAGCUACCUCAAAGUCAUCUCGCACCACCUCACAGGUUGGGGGUCGAGCAAUGGUUCUCAAGCAAGAAGGGGAGCCUUUUUAGGACGCCCGCGCCGACGAGGUUGAUGAACUGGCUCUGCAACGGAAAAUCCAUCCUCAAGCACAGAACUAGCGCCUUCCACCCCCCCCCCCAACAGAAGGAUCCAAAGCUGAGGGAAGAGGAGACACUGGCAGAGCCAGCGCACCAACCUGAAGCGAAGAAGCUUCAUCUGCAGCUGCACCAUAACAUGAGUAACCAAUUCAAAAGAUUUGGUGUGCUCCAAAAGCCCAUACCCACACCUCAAAACCACAGGAAACAGAUUCAAGAGAGGGAUUGUCCUCGGAACAAACGAACUCCUUAUGCCCCAAGUCACCGACAGAAGAGAGGGAGCAUCAAAUAAGUUAAAGAGAAGUUCAGAAGAGAGGUUUCAGUUCCAACUCCUAGCCGAGGGACCGUGGAGAAGGAAAGACAGACCAUUCUCCCAAAACCCACGCAAAACUAAAAAAGUUGCAACAGAGCUAACACCACCCUGCACUUCCUCCGCACUCAUCGCCUCACCAGCAGUUAAACCAUCUCUGGACCAGCGCUCCUUCCGAGCCAAACCCAGGACCAGACAACCAUUGACGUCGCCAUCUCUCCCUUCUACUUCUCUUGCAUCACCAGCCAAACCGAAACCCAAACCUGAAAUCUCUGGAAAGAGGAACUUAUCCGGAACCCUCGAAACCUCUUCAGACGAACACCCAACACCAUCGUGCAUCCUUAUCUCAUCCUCAUAAAAAGAAGACAAGUUGUUAUCCUUCCUACGCCCCAAGACAACAUCUCGCCAGGAAAGACGAGAUGGGUGAGAGUUACCAACCUUCCAUUGUUGAACAGAAGCAGAGAGUCGCUUCCCCUGAUCAGAAACGGUUUGAGACCCCAAACAAAUAUAGCACGAAAUUGAACCGCCUACCCGAGGGAACCUGACCAUGGAAACCGAUAGAGAAACAUUCCCCAGCUUAAACCCAUCAAGACCCUAACCUGUUCUCGAAACCCAUAUCGUACGAAGCCAAAUCGAAAAAUUCUUCCAACCUUUCUCUGUCAAUGGACAAAGAGGUUGAUAACCUCGCCAAACUUCGAGCAUAUAUCGCGGAGAUGAAGAUAACCGAUCUUCUCUUCGAUUCCAUCGAUGAACACCGAAAAACACUUCCUCCUUCCACCGUGGCUUCCACCCGAUCCACCAUCUGCUUCAUCGUCCAGCUCUCCGCCUUCCGCCUCGCCAUCCAUGUUGCCUUCGUCGCGAGCAGCCGUCGAACCCUUCCGAUUCACCGCCGCCGUCCUUGAAUCGCCUGACCCAGAAACCCUAGCAGAGGGGUUCAAACACACAUUGCUCCGUGAUAGCGAGCUAAUUUUCGUUAAGGGUGUAAGAUGGUUCUGAAUAUACUAAACAAUCCCCUGUGUUGAUGAGUAUGGGUGUUAUCAUAGUGCUACUAAUAUUCUGGAAAAAAUUGUCUCCUGCAAACUUGAAUCUGAUACAUAUGUUGUUGUUUCUAAAUGUUGUGUAAUUCUCUCAAUCAACUCUUGGUUUUCCUAAUUCAUUGUGUUCAUCUAUGUAUUCAUUGUGUUCUGACUAGGUAGAUAUGAAGGAGGAAACAUCAUCAUAUAUGCAUAUAAAUAACAUCACAAGGUGAGAACUAGGUAAAGAUGUCGAAACAAAAAUUGAAGAAACUUGUUUUGGGUUCUUGGUCAAGCUCCAAGAGAUGUUGUGGAACGUGAAAGAGGGUUGUUGUUAUCUCUGAAUUUUGCUAGAGGACAUCGUCUACAUAAUCGGACUUCCCAUCGAUGAGAUGCCGGCGGCGGGAAUAAUACCGGAAGAUACUGCACAAUUAUUGGUAGAACAUUUAGCUAUGGAAAGAAAUGAUGCAUAAAAUUUGCUCGAAGUUACAUCAAAACCGAAGUUGAAAGGUGUAGUUGAUCUAGAAAAGCUGCGAGCACACUUUCAGAGGCCCGAUGUUAGUUCUAAAGUGGGUUCGGAGUUCCUUGCAAAGGUUUUUAUAGUUUACAAUCUAGAAAUUACUUUGUUUCCUGCCCGGUCAAGGACCGAUCAGCCACAUUAUCUGCCUCUUUUGGAUUUUGAAAUUCGUAUUCACCUAGGACAGAUGUGAUACACAAUGUUGCAACAAUGUGUAGCACAACAAAACACAAUCAGAGUAUCAAAAAUAAACAAACAGUUAAAACACAAGGAGUUGUUAACCCAGUUCGGUGAACAUCACCUACGUCUGGAGGAUACCAAUCCAGGAGUCAAUUCACUAUCAAAUAAUAGUUCUCAGGUCACAUAAAAGUCCCUCCUAUACCUAAGUACUCCCCCUUAGUAUAGAGCCUCUUAUAUGUUCACCACUAUUACACAAGUGAAUCAAGCUUAGCCCUUCUCCUCUAAGCUAUGAGAAAACUUUCUCUAACUCCUAACAAUCACUGCCACAGUGAUCAAGACAUGUUUAUCAAAAACAGUUUGAUGAGAUUACAACUCAACUAAACAAAUUCAACUCAGUACUUUGAUGAACUAAAGCACUAAGUUGGUACAACACUCACAAGAGGACUCACAAACAAAAACCCUAAGAUCAAUAUCUGAAUCUCUGAAUUCGUGUGCAGCUAGGGUUUACAAGUUCCUUUAUAUAGACGUUCACUUGGGGCUUGGAUCUUCAAUGGGCUGAACGUCCUAGAGUCCACUAAACACACUUCUGGAUAGAAUCUUCAAGGAAUCAAAUCUUACCAGAAUAAAAUAACAGAACCAAGUAAAACAGAAUUUGAGAUAGACUUGGUCCACACGAUAUUAAUCUUGUUACUUCAGCCAAGAUUAAAACAAACACGCCUUCAGAAGAUAAAACGCACAGCAUAGGAUAAAAACUUCUGAAUCACCAUACAGUUAGCAACCUCACAACAAGCUUGACUUUAACGACUGAACAAGCAACAUAUGUAAUUCCACCAUGUUGCUCCAGAUGUUGGAACAUAUGGUUGCCCAUCAUGUUUUGAGCAAAAUGCAGCCAAUCAAAAGAACUACAGAUUUUAAGGCGAUCAACAACUAUGCUUGGGGAGCAGUGGUGUUGACACAUAAUGAUAUGGUUGAAAUAAUUAAAAAAGAAGAAAACUCAAGUCUUUGUUGUUUUAGUUUGGCUUUAACGGUAAGUUUUAAGAUUUUUACAUUGUCAUUUAAGUUUUAAAAUCUUUUCAUGGGUUUUAAUCUCUUACAAUUUUUUUUAACUAUUUCAACCAUAUAAGAAAUUAAACGACAAUGUAAAGAUCUUAAAACUUACCGUUAAAGCCAAACUAAAACAACAAAGACUUGAGUUUUCUUCUUUUUUAACUAUUUCGACCCUAUCAUUCUUGAUAUGUGCCAACAUCGCUGCUCCCUAAGCAUAGUUGUUGAUCGCCUUAAAAUCCAAAAGAGACAGAUAAUGUGGUUGACCGGGUGGGAAACAAAGUAAUUCCUAGAUUGUAAAAUAUAAAAGCCUUUGCAAGGACCUCCGAACCCACUUUAGAACUAACAUCGAGCCUUCGAAAGUGUGGUCGCAAUUUUUCUAGAUCAACUGCACCUUUCGACUUUGGUUUAGAUGUAACUUCGAGCAAAUUUUCUGCAUCAUUUCUUUCCAUAGCUAAAUGUUCUACCAGGAAUUGGGCAGUAUCUUCCAGUAUUAUUCUCGUCACCGGCAUCCCAUCGAUGGGAAGUCUGGUUAUGUAGAGGUUGUUCUGUUUCCCGAAAUCUAAAUCAAACUCAUUCGCACCGUUUCCAAUUCGAAAACAGUCAGCUUCAGCAUUAUAGUGUUUCAAGAGAGCACUUACAAAAUUCAGGGGUAACAACAACCCCUUUCACGUUCUGCAACAUCUCUUGGAGCUUGACCAAGAACUCAAAACAAGUUUCUUCAAUUUUUGUUGCAACAUAUCUACCUAGUUCUCACCUCGUGAUGUUAUUUAUAUGCAUAUCUGAUGAUGUUGCUUCCUUCAUCUCUACCUAGUCAGAACACAAUAUAUACAGAGAUGAACACAAUGAAUCAGGAAAACCAAGAGCUGAUUGAAAGAAUUAACCAACAUUUAGAAACAACAACAUAUGUAUUAGAUUCAAGUUGCAGAAGACAAUUUUUUCGAGAAUAUUAAUAGCACUAUCAUAGCACCCCUACUCAUCAACAAGGGAGAUUGUUUAGUAUAUUCAGAACCAUCUUACACCCUUAACUAUUUAAAUUAGCAUUAAAAGGAUUGCUUUCUACGUCCCUAUAAAGUGCUUCCUUAUAAAGGCAGUGUGUUAGAGCAUUAGUGGUUACAUAAGUCCAAAAUUAGGAAAGUUAAGAGGUAGUAGCCCUAUAUACAUAGAAACAAAACAAUAUAGAAAAUGUUAAUGCAAUGUUUCUUUAAAAUCUUAAAUGUUAGAAAAAUCCCAAAAAGAAUCAAUGAAUUAAAUAAUGCAAUCUCGUGGUAAUUGUGAGAUGGCUUACACAUUUAAACAAGGUUAAAAAGUAAAAAUCAAUCUUGAUUUAUUAAUAAUCACUGAUGAUUUAAUUAAUUAAUUAAUGAACUAAUACCUUAAUCUGCAAUGCCUGAAUUGCAAAUCCUUCUUGAUUAAUAUGCUCACUUGUGUAUAGAGCUGGAAGGGCAGAAGCAACAAAGGAUCAUAUAUAGAGUAAGUGCACAUACAACAGAAUCUGGAAAUAAUAAUCUUAUACAGAAACUAGUUUGAUCCACUACAUGAUCCUUCCUACAAUGAUGAGGAAGAGGCAAGUUGCUAUUAUACAGUCUAAAUCAAAAGCAUGUUACAACUUACAAGGUACAACAUUUGGCUGCCAAAAGCAUCAAAAGCAUAUAGGACCCCAAAAGGAGAAGCUACUCUCAAUAGCCAGAAGGUUGAAGGUUGCAAAACGAGGAAGCUAAAAGGGAAAAGAGAAAAUGUAACAAAAAAAGGGGGUGGGGAAUAAUUAACAUUUAAAAUUUGCCAUUUCUGAAAUUUCUUGGGAAUAUAAGAAAAGAGAAAUGAGGCUUGUGGUUGAAUAUAGUAAGAAGAAAAGAAGAGGGUUAUCUAUAUCUUCUUCUCAAAGACACAACACAAAAUCAUGACAGAACAUGAAAUGUGAUUAUGCAAAUCACGAAGCUAUGGUUUUGGCCUUUUGGGCAAUGAAAACCGCUUGAGUUGUUUCUUCAUGAAUAAUCCAUGGAACUCAUAAAUAAUAAACAAGAGAAAAAAGUACAAUGAGGCAUGAUUUUAACUUCUUUACUUACCUUGUUUGUGAAGAAAUAAUCUUAAUAUCAAAUAAUUGAACUUCCUAGUUGCUACAUUGGAAAUUUCUAUAAGGUUUGGUAAGAUACUAUGUUCGAAAUUUGGAAGAAAAUUUACCAUUUCACAUAUUCAUAUUAUAUUACCCACUAAGUAUCUUUAAGUAAAAAAAAAAAAAAAUAGAGCAAAGACAUAUACCUCUAUAAAUCACUAAAAAUAAAAUCUUCAUACAGGAGGUAGCACCCAACAACUUCUAGUAAGGUAAAAUUCAAACAAAUACAACAACAUUAACAAAAAAUACAAUCAUAUUAGCCUA